rnacentral:rRNA from 1 species
GACGAACGCUGGCGGCGUGCUUAACACAUGCAAGUCGAACGGAAAGGCCCUGCUUUUGUGGGGUGCUCGAGUGGCGAACGGGUGAGUAACACGGGAGUAACCUGCCCUGGACUUUGGGAUAACUUCAGGAAACUGGGGCUAAUACCGGAUAGGAGCUCCUGCUGCAUGGUGGGGGUUGGAAAGUUUCGGCGGUUGGGGAUGGACUCGGGGCUUAUCAGCUUGUUGGUGGGGUAGUGGCUUACCAAGGCUUUGACGGGUAGCCGGCCUGAGAGGGUGACCGGCCACAUUGGGACAGAGAGACGGCCCAGACUCCUACGGGAGGCAGCAGUGGGGAAUAUUGCACAAGGGGCGGAAGCCUGAUGCAGCAACGCCGCGUGCGGGAGGACGGCCUUCGGGUGGUAAACCGCUUUCGCCUGUGACGAAGCGUGAGGGACGGUAAUGGGUAAAGAAACACCGGCUAACUACGU